ACGCUCGACACCACGGGAGCAGCAGUGGGGAAUAUUGCACAAUGGGGGAAACCCUGAUGCAGCGACGCCGCGUGGAGGAAGAAGGUCUUCGGAUUGUAAACUCCUGUUGUUGGGGAAAAAGAGGAUGGUACCCAACAAGGAAGUGACGGCUAACUACGUCGCAGCNCGCGAGUAUNGNGGCGGNGNGAGAG
rnacentral:rRNA from 1 species